rfam:Dipodomys ordii contig_11994, whole genome shotgun sequence.
GGUGGCUCAAUGGUAGAGUGCUUGCCUAGCAUGCAUGAAGCCCUGGGUUCAAUUCCUCAGUACCA